rnacentral:rRNA from 1 species
GAUGAACGCUGGCGGCGUGCCUAAUACAUGCAAGUCGAGCGAAUGGAUUAAGAGCUUGCUCUUAUGAAGUUAGCGGCGGACGGGUGAGUAACACGUGGGUAACCUGCCCAUAAGACUGGGAUAACUCCGGGAAACCGGGGCUAAUCCCGGAUAACAUUUUGAACCGCAUGGUUCGAAAUUGAAAGACGGUUUCGGCUGUCGCUGAUGGAUGGGCCUGCGGCGCAUUAGCUGGUUGGCGGGGUAACGGCCCACCAAGGCAACGAUGCGUAGCCGACCUGAGAGGGUGAUCGGCCACACUGGGACUGAGACACGGCCCAGACUCCUACGGGAGGCAGCAGUAGGGAAUCUUCCGCAAUGGACGCAAGUCUGACGGAGCAACGCCGCGUGAGUGAAGAAGGGUUUCGGCUCGUAAAACUCUGUUGUUAAGGAAGAACGCCAGGUAGAGUAACUGCUACCUGUGUGACGGUACUUAACCAGAAAGCCACGGCUAACUACGUGCCAGCAGCCGCAGUAA